rnacentral:rRNA from 1 species
UGCAGUCGACGCUUCUUUUUCCACCGGAGCUUGCUCCACCGGAAAAAGAAGAGUGGCGAACGGGUGAGUAACACGUGGGUAACCUGCCCAUCAGAAGGGGAUAACACUUGGAAACAGGUGCUAAUACCGUAUAACAAUCAAAACCGCAUGGUUUUGAUUUGAAAGGCGCUUUCGGGUGUCGCUGAUGGAUGGACCCGCGGUGCAUUAGCUAGUUGGUGAGGUAACGGCUCACCAAGGCCACGAUGCAUAGCCGACCUGAGAGGGUGAUCGGCCACAUUGGGACUGAGACACGGCCCAAACUCCUACGGGAGGCAGCAGUAGGGAAUCUUCGGCAAUGGACGAAAGUCUGACCGAGCAACGCCGCGUGAGUGAAGAAGGUUUUCGGAUCGUAAAACUCUGUUGUUAGAGAAGAACAAGGAUGAGAGUAACUGUUCAUCCCUUGACGGUAUCUAACCAGAAAGCCACGGCUAACUACGUGCCAGCAGCCGCGGUAAUACGUAGGUGGCAAGCGUUGUCCGGAUUUAUUGGGCGUAAAGCGAGCGCAGGCGGUUUCUUAAGUCUGAUGUGAAAGCCCCCGGCUCAACCGGGGAGGGUCAUUGGAAACUGGGAGACUUGAGUGCAGAAGAGGAGAGUGGAAUUCCAUGUGUAGCGGUGAAAUGCGUAGAUAUAUGGAGGAACACCAGUGGCGAAGGCGGCUCUCUGGUCUGUAACUGACGCUGAGGCUCGAAAGCGUGGGGAGCAAACAGGAUUAGAUACCCUGGUAGUCCACGCCGUAAACGAUGAGUGCUAAGUGUUGGAGGGUUUCCGCCCCUUCAGUGCUGCAGCUAACGCAUUAAGCACUCCGCCUGGGGAGUACGACCGCAAGGUUGAACUCAG